rnacentral:tRNA from 1 species
GGGCCCGUAGCUCAGUUGGUUAGAGCAGAGCGCUCAUAACGCUUUUGUCGUAGGUUCAAGUCCUACCGGGCCUA